UGCACCACUGAGCUAAAGCCCCAGCCCCAGGCUGGAUAAUUUAUAAAGAGCAGAGUUUUAUUCAGCUCACAGUUUUGCAGCCUGAGAAGCCAAGAAGAUGGCACCAGCAUCUGGUGAGGACUUUUUGCCGGUGGUGACUGCAGAAUCCAGAGGCGCCAUAGGGCAUUAUAAGAAGCAGCUAGGGUUGGAACCACCAAAACCUAGUGCUGGAGCCUUCAAGUGACAAGUCUUGGACUCAUAUUGCCAAGGUGAAGCCCAGCAGGUUCAUUCUUUCUGUUAAGAAUUUCUGCUCUGGAGACACAUGCUGUGGAAGCAUAAAUGAACCCUGCCUUUAGACUCAAAUUGGCCUGGGUUAGAAUGCUAAAGCUGCCGGUUACUCAGCAAACAGUCAAGUUGGGACCUUCUGGAAAACGUGUACAUCAGCACCUAAAGCCUGCACAGGACUCCUCUGCCAGACCCAAG